rnacentral:misc_RNA from 1 species
AUGGCGGUGGCGGUAAUGGCGGUGGUGGCGGUGGAGAAGGUGGCAGUGGGGAUUGUGGUGGCGGAUGUGGCGGUGGAGAUGGUGGCGGUGGAAUUGGUGGCGGCGGUAAUGGCGAUGGAGAUGGCGGCGGUAAUGGCGGUGGAG